UACUCCUACGGGAGGCAGCAGUGAGGAAUAUUGGUCAAUGGGGGAAACCCUGAUGCAGCAACGCCGCGUGAGUGAAGAAGUAUUUCGGUAUGUAAAGCUCUAUCAGCAGGGAAGAUAGUGACGGUACCUGACUAAGAAGCACCGGCUAAAUACGUGCCAGCAGCCGCGGUAAU
rnacentral:rRNA from 1 species